GCGCCCGUAGCUCAGCUGGACAGAGCACCGGGCUUCUAUCCCGAGGGUCGGGGGUUCGAAUCCUCCCGGGCGCG
rnacentral:tRNA from 1 species